AUAGCCUAACGGCUGAACCAGCAAUUUGCAAGAACGAAGAAAGUGGUUUAUCCGCAUAAAGUUCUAGAUAAAAUACUGAUAAUGACAAAUUUUUAUCUAACGGUCUUGACAAAAUCACGUGCCAGCAGUCGCGGUAAUACGGGAAAGACUAGUGUUAUUCAUCUUUAAUGGGUUUAAAGGGUACCUAGACAGUCAAUUUAACCUCCUCAUGAGGUAUGAAUUAGGCUAGAGUUUUAUGGAAGAGGAGUAUAUAGUAUUAACAGAGAAGAGAUAAAAUUUGUUGAUACUGUUAAGCACGGGUAACGGCGAAGGCGAUCCUUUAAGUAAAAACUGACGUUGAGGGACGAAGGCUUGGGUAACAAACAGGAUUAGAUACCCUAAUAGUCCAGGCAGACAAUUAUGAAUGCCAUAGGUUAGGUAUAACCUUGAUCUAUAAAUGAAAGUGUAAGCAUUCCACCUCAAGAGUAAUGUGGCAACGCAGGAACUGAAAUCAUUAGACCGUUUCUGAAACCAGUAGUGAAGUAUGUUAUUUAAUUUGAUAAUCCGCAAAAAACCUUACCACAGUUUGAACAAAGUAGUGACACCACUACAUACAGGUGCUGCAUGGCUGUCUUCAGUUAAUGUCGUGAGACUUAGGUUAGUUCCAUUAAAUUAACGAAAACCCUUGCUUUAUUUGUUAUUAUAAAGUAGUUCUCCAUUAUAAUGGAUAAGAUAACAGGGAUCAAGACAAGUAAUCA
rnacentral:rRNA from 1 species